GGGUUGUGAGGUUAAGCGACUAAGCGUACACGGUGGAUGCCCUGGCAGUCAGAGGCGAUGAAGGACGUGCUAAUCUGCGAAAAGCGUCGGUAAGGUGAUAUGAACCGUUAUAACCGGCGAUGUCCGAAUGGGGAAACCCAGUGCAAUUCGUUGCACUAUCGUUAACUGAAUACAUAGGUUAACGAGGCGAACCGGGGGAACUGAAACAUCUAAGUACCCCGAGGAAAAGAAAUCAACCGAGAUUCCCCCAGUAGCGGCGAGCGAACGGGGAGCAGCCCAGAGUCUGAAUCAGCUUGUGUGUUAGUGGAACGGUCUGGAAAGUCCGACGGUACAGGGUGAUAGUCCCGUACACCAAAAUGCACAGGCUGUGAACUCGAAGAGUAGGGCGGGACACGUGGUAUCCUGUCUGAAUAUGGGGGGACCAUCCUCCAAGGCUAAAUACUCCUGACUGACCGAUAGUGAACCAGUACCGUGAGGGAAAGGCGAAAAGAACCCCGGCGAGGGGAGUGAAAAAGAACCUGAAACCGUGUACGUACAAGCAGUGGGAGCACCUUCGGGUGUGACUGCGUACCUUUUGUAUAAUGGGUCAGCGACUUAUAUUCUGUAGCAAGGUUAACCGUAUAGGGGAGCCGCAGGGAAACCGAGUCUUAACUGGGCGUUAAGUUGCAGGGUAUAGACCCGAAACCCGGUGAUCUAGCCAUGGGCAGGUUGAAGGUUGGGUAACACUAACUGGAGGACCGAACCGACUAAUGUUGAAAAAUUAGCGGAUGACUUGUGGCUGGGGGUGAAAGGCCAAUCAAACCGGGAGAUAGCUGGUUCUCCCCGAAAGCUAUUUAGGUAGCGCCUCGUGAACUCAUCUUCGGGGGUAGAGCACUGUUUCGGCUAGGGGGUCAUCCCGACUUACCAACCCGAUGCAAACUACGAAUACCGAAGAAUGUUAUCACGGGAGACACACGGCGGGUGCUAACGUCCGUCGUGAAGAGGGAAACAACCCAGACCGCCAGCUAAGGUCCCAAAGUCAUGGUUAAGUGGGAAACGAUGUGGGAAGGCACAGACAGCCAGGAUGUUGGCUUAGAAGCAGCCAUCAUUUAAAGAAAGCGUAAUAGCUCACUGGUCGAGUCGGCCUGCGCGGAAGAUGUAACGGGGCUAAACCAUGCACCGAAGCUGCGGCAGCGACACUAUGUGUUGUUGGGUAGGGGAGCGUUCUGUAAGCCUGCGAAGGUGACCUGUGAGGGUUGCUGGAGGUAUCAGAAGUGCGAAUGCUGACAUAAGUAACGAUAAAGCGGGUGAAAAGCCCGCUCGCCGGAAGACCAAGGGUUCCUGUCCAACGUUAAUCGGGGCAGGGUGAGUCGACCCCUAAGGCGAGGCCGAAAGGCGUAGUCGAUGGGAAACAGGUUAAUAUUCCUGUACUUGGUGUUACUGCGAAGGGGGGACGGAGAAGGCUAUGUUAGCCGGGCGACGGUUGUCCCGGUUUAAGCAUGUAGGCUGAUUGUCCAGGCAAAUCCGGAUAAUCAAGGCUGAGGUGUGAUGACGAGGCACUACGGUGCUGAAGUAACAAAUGCCCUGCUUCCAGGAAAAGCCUCUAAGCAUCAGGUAACAUUAAAUCGUACCCCAAACCGACACAGGUGGUCAGGUAGAGAAUACCAAGGCGCUUGAGAGAACUCGGGUGAAGGAACUAGGCAAAAUGGUGCCGUAACUUCGGGAGAAGGCACGCUGGUGUGUAGGUGAAGUCCCUGCGGAUGGAGCUGAGACCAGUCGAAGAUACCAGCUGGCUGCAACUGUUUAUUAAAAACACAGCACUGUGCAAACACGAAAGUGGACGUAUACGGUGUGACGCCUGCCCGGUGCCGGAAGGUUAAUUGAUGGGGUUAUCCGUAAGGAGAAGCUCUUGAUCGAAGCCCCGGUAAACGGCGGCCGUAACUAUAACGGUCCUAAGGUAGCGAAAUUCCUUGUCGGGUAAGUUCCGACCUGCACGAAUGGCGUAAUGAUGGCCAGGCUGUCUCCACCCGAGACUCAGUGAAAUUGAACUCGCUGUGAAGAUGCAGUGUACCCGCGGCAAGACGGAAAGACCCCGUGAACCUUUACUAUAGCUUGACACUGAACAUUGAGCCUUGAUGUGUAGGAUAGGUGGGAGGCUUUGAAGCGUGGACGCCAGUCUGCGUGGAGCCAACCUUGAAAUACCACCCUUUAAUGUUUGAUGUUCUAACGUUGGCCCCUGACCGGGGUUGCGGACAGUGUCUGGUGGGUAGUUUGACUGGGGCGGUCUCCUCCCAAAGCGUAACGGAGGAGCACGAAGGUUAGCUAAUCCUGGUCGGACAUCAGGAGGUUAGUGCAAUGGCAUAAGCUAGCUUGACUGCGAGCGUGACGGCGCGAGCAGGUGCGAAAGCAGGUCAUAGUGAUCCGGUGGUUCUGAAUGGAAGGGCCAUCGCUCAACGGAUAAAAGGUACUCCGGGGAUAACAGGCUGAUACCGCCCAAGAGUUCAUAUCGACGGCGGUGUUUGGCACCUCGAUGUCGGCUCAUCACAUCCUGGGGCUGAAGUAGGUCCCAAGGGUAUGGCUGUUCGCCAUUUAAAGUGGUACGCGAGCUGGGUUUAGAACGUCGUGAGACAGUUCGGUCCCUAUCUGCCGUGGGCGCUGGAGAAUUGAGGGGGGCUGCUCCUAGUACGAGAGGACCGGAGUGGACGCAUCACUGGUGUUCGGGUUGUCAUGCCAAUGGCACUGCCCGGUAGCUAAAUGCGGAAGAGAUAAGUGCUGAAAGCAUCUAAGCACGAAACUUGCCCCGAGAUGAGUUCUCCCUGAGACUUUAAGUCUCCUGAAGGAACGUUGAAGACGACGACGUUGAUAGGCCGGGUGUGUAAGCGCAGCGAUGCGUUGAGCUAACCGGUACUAAUGAACCGUGAGGCUUAACCUUACAACGCCGAAG
rnacentral:rRNA from 2 species